rnacentral:lncRNA from 1 species
AGUCUAUCGAUAAACUCAAUUGAGUUGACUAUUGUAUAUUGAAUCAGUAGAAUCUUUUUAUUUAAAUGGGUAAAGUUUCGAUGGCUUUCCUACAGCCAGGACAAUAUCAAGGCCCAAUUGAACGCCGGAGUCCGGCAAUUCAACAAGAAGCGCAGUCGCGGCAAAGUCUGGAAUGUCUUCUCCAGAAUCGAGCUUGGUCAAAUAACAUGGAUGCACUUCACACAUGGAGCGGCACAAGUGCUACAGAACCUAUGUCAUAUAUCCAACAUCAGAGGAUGAAGAGGAUUCCCACUGGAAUCCGGACGUUUCCAGUGCGGACAAGGCUACAGAUAAGAUAACCGAGGCCCUGAUGGAUUGGUGCGUCGUGGUUAGUGCGCGGGACAUCGAAACGCACUACGAUUUCUUCUUGGUCUUUGUCGCCUUGGACAGCCAGGAGGAUAAGAUUAUCAAAGAAAUUCAAGGCUACCAGGCAAUACAGAUGCCUGCAUGUGGAUUAGCUGCACCGAAAGAUGUUGCCCAACCAAUAUGAAUAAAAGAAUCGAUUCUUAGCUCUAGCUUACCAAAUUGUAGGUUUUCCUAGAAUUCCUGUUAAUUUAAAACUAUUAAUGAUCCACAAUGUCGAUACACAAAAAAAUUUGAAAAAUUAAAAUUUUGAAUAAAGAAAACAAUACG